GACGAACGCUGGUGGCGUGCUUAACACAUGCAAGUCGAACGGUGAAGCCCAGCUUGCUGGGUGGAUCAGUGGCGAACGGGUGAGUAACACGUGAGCAACCUGCCCUCCACUUCGGGAUAAGCCUUGGAAACGGGGUCUAAUACCGGAUAUGAGCGCCUGCCGCAUGGUGGGUGUUGGAAAGUUUUUCGGUGGGGGAUGGGCUCGCGGCCUAUCAGCUUGUUGGUGGGGUAAUGGCCUACCAAGGCGUCGACGGGUAGCCGGCCUGAGAGGGCGACCGGCCACACUGGGACUGAGACACGGCCCAGACUCCUACGGGAGGCAGCAGUGGGGAAUAUUGCACAAUGGGCGAAAGCCUGAUGCAGCGACGCCACGUGAGGGAUGACGGCCUUCGGGUUGUAAACCUCUUUCAGCAGGGAAGAAGCGCAAGUGACGGUACCUGCAGAAGAAGCGCCGGCUAACUACGUGCCAGCAGCCGCGGUAAUACGUAGGGCGCAAGCGUUGUCCGGAAUUAUUGGGCGUAAAGAGCUCGUAGGCGGUCUGUCGCGUCUGGUGUGAAAUCCCAUGGCUCAACUGUGGGCUUGCAUCGGGUACGGGCAGACUAGAGUGCUGUAGGGGAGACUGGAAUUCCUGGUGUAGCGGUGGAAUGCGCAGAUAUCAGGAGGAACACCGAUGGCGAAGGCAGGUCUCUGGGCAGUUACUGACGCUGAGGAGCGAAAGCAUGGGGAGCGAACAGGAUUAGAUACCCUGGUAGUCCAUGCCGUAAACGUUGGGCACUAGGUGUGGGGCCAGUUCCACUGGUUCUGUGCCGCAGCUAACGCAUUAAGUGCCCCGCCUGGGGAGUACGGCCGCAAGGCUAAAACUCAAAGGAAUUGACGGGGGCCCGCACAAGCGGCGGAGCAUGCGGAUUAAUUCGAUGCAACGCGAAGAACCUUACCAAGGCUUGACAUGUACGAGAAAGCCCCAGAGAUGGGGUUCUCUUUGGACACUCGUACACAGGUGGUGCAUGGUUGUCGUCAGCUCGUGUCGUGAGAUGUUGGGUUAAGUCCCGCAACGAGCGCAACCCUUAUCCUAUGUUGCCAGCGGGUUAUGCCGGGGACUCAUGGGAGACUGCCGGGGUCAACUCGGAGGAAGGUGGGGAUGACGUCAAAUCAUCAUGCCCCUUAUGUCUUGGGCUUCACGCAUGCUACAAUGGCCGGUACAGAGGGCUGCGAUACCGUGAGGUGGAGCGAAUCCCAAAAAGCCGGUCUCAGUUCGGAUCGGGGUCUGCAACUCGACCUCGUGAAGUCGGAGUCGCUAGUAAUCGCAGAUCAGCAACGCUGCGGUGAAUACGUUCCCGGGCCUUGCACACACCGC
rnacentral:rRNA from 1 species